UUCAAAGAAAGAAGGAGAAGAAGAAUGUUAACUAUAACGUGCUUCAAUCAAUCAAUCUACAAGAAGGUCUUCUUCAAAAGGCGCUCUCGCUCUCUUCUUCUUCUUGUUAAUCCUCUUGUCUUCACUAACACGGAGGAGACACAGAAAGAUUGAACUUUUAUCCAUAGAAUUUUGCCUUACAAUAAUAAUAAUGAAAGAGGGAAAAGGGCAGAGAGAACAAACCCUAAGAAAACAACCUUUUAAGUUUUAUCCCUUCUCCAAGUUCCAGCUCCAAC